rnacentral:tRNA from 1 species
AAUUAAUUAAUUAAUGAGCUUGUUAUAAGCAUUUGUUUUGAAAACAUAAGAAAGAAUAUUUAUUCUAUUAAUUU